rnacentral:rRNA from 1 species
UACAGAGGGGGCAAGCGUUGUUCGGAAUUACUGGGCGUAAAGGGCGCGUAGGCGGCCUGCUAAGUCGAACGUGAAAUCCCCGGGCUCAACCCGGGAACUGCGUCCGAUACUGGCAGGCUUGAAUUCGGGAGAGGGAUGCGGAAUUCCAGGUGUAGCGGUGAAAUGCGUAGAUAUCUGGAGGAACACCGGUGGCGAAGGCGGCCUUCUGGACGGAUACUGACGCUGAGACGCGAAAGCGUGGGGAGCAAACAGG